GUCAUCAUCGUCAUCAUCCAUGCUUCUACACCUCCUGGAAAUGAAUGAUGGUGGGAUUAGUGACGGUCGGUAGGUAGUGGGUAAUGGAAGCGUAUUUCGGUGAAGUGAUCUCAUACAACAUAAAAGGAGCUCAUGCCAAAAUGUGAAAGAUAAACACAAGCAAGAAGUAAAUACGUAGAAUAGAGAUGAAAAUACUUAAUAAACAUUACACAGACUGUUAAAAACCCAUUAACAAUGAAGAAAUAUCGCCAGUGAAUAAAAAGUAAGUGAAUAUACAAACAAAACCAAA